rnacentral:snoRNA from 1 species
AUGCCAUGAUGAGGACAUUUCUGAAGCAUGUUCUUGAAUCUAUUCCAAUCUUCAUUGAAGGAUUCAAUUUCUCCCUACCAAAAUAUGGAUAUAUCAUGCUUCAAUUU